GCCGCUGUGGCCCAAUGGAUAAGGCGCCUGCCUACGGAGCAAGCGAUUCACACUUCGAGUCUGUGCAGUGGUA
rnacentral:tRNA from 1 species